rnacentral:rRNA from 1 species
UACGUAGGCAGCAAGCGUUGUUCGGAUUUACUGGGCUUAAAGCGCGUGUAGGCGGCUCGGCACGUCGGACGCUGAAAUCCCCCGGCUCAACCGGGGAAGUGGCGCCGAUACGGCCGGGCUGGAGGGGGGUAGGGGGGCCUGGAACUUCCGGUGGAGCGGUGAAAUGCGUUGAGAUCGGAAGGAACGCCCGUGGCGAAAGCGAGGCCCUGGACCCUUACUGACGCUGAGACGCGAAAGCCAGGGGAGCGAACGGG